GCAGUCGUGGCCGAGUGGUUAUGGUGAUGGACUAGAAAUCCAUUGGGGUCUCCCCGCACAGGUUCGAAUCCUGUCGACUGCG
rnacentral:tRNA from 1 species